UACAGAGGGGGCGAGCGUUGUUCGGAAUUACUGGGCGUAAAGGGCGCGUAGGCGGCCUUCUAAGUCGAACGUGAAAUCCCCGGGCUCAACCCGGGAACUGCGUCCGAUACUGGGAGGCUUGAAUCCGGGAGAGGGAUGUGGAAUUCCAGGUGUAGCGGUGAAAUGCGUAGAUAUCAAGAGGAACACCAGUGGCGAAGGCGAGUCCCUGGACGAUACCUGACACUGAGGCACGAAAGCCAAGGGAGCGAACAGG
rnacentral:rRNA from 1 species